rnacentral:rRNA from 1 species
GUGGGGAAUAUUGGACAAUGGGCGAAAGCCUGAUCCAGCCAUGCCGCGUGUGUGAAGAAGGUCUUCGGAUUGUAAAGCACUUUAAGUUGGGAGGAAGGGCAGUAAGUUAAUACCUUGCUGUUUUGACGUUACCGACAGAAUAAGCACCGGCUAACUUCGUGCCAGCAGCCGCGGUAAUACGAAGGGUGCAAGCGUUAAUCGGAAUUACUGGGCGUAAAGCGCGCGUAGGUGGUUUUGUAAGUUGGAGGUGAAAUCCCCGGGCUCAACCUGGGAACUGCCUCCAAAACUGCAUGACUAGAGUACGGUAGAGGGUAGUGGAAUUUCCUGUGUAGCGGUGAAAUGCGUAGAUAUAGGAAGGAACACCAGUGGCGAAGGCGACUACCUGGACUGAUACCGACACUGAGGUGCGAAAGCGUGGGGAGCAAACAGGAUUAGAAACCCCAGUAGUCC